rnacentral:lncRNA from 1 species
UCACGAAUCAAAAAUUUUAUAGAUCAUAAUUUAUUAAUUGAUCACAAAUCAAAAUAUUUUAUACGUCACAACUCAUUUAUCGAUCACAGAUUAUCAAAUUAAUUGAUCACAAUUCACCAAAUUCUAAGUCAUAAUUACAAAUUUCACAAUCACAAAUUCCUCUUGGUCACGUAUUAUUUAUUAACCACAAAUUAAUAAUUUAUUGAUCACAACACUCAAAUAAUUGGUUAGAGACUCUUUUCUUACCCCCACAACACCCUCUUCAAAACCACCACCAUCUCAUCAGCAUCACCAUAGCACUCGCGAAACCACCACCGCACAGUGCACCACCACACCCACCUCAGCACGCCACACCCACGGCACACCACCAUCACAUACAGCACAACAACAAUACACCACUAUAUCCACAACAUAUUGUUAUUUAUUAGUUACAAAUUAAUCAAUUUAUUAAUAACAAUCACCAAAAUAAUUAGUCAUAAACACUCAUCCCAUUCCACCCCAAUCCCAAACCUAAACCCAACCCAAAACCCAAAUCCAAACCCAAUUCACCACCUACACCAACGAACUACUGCACGAACUCACUACCACUUGAACCACUACUGCCAGUACUAUCACCACCUGCUCCUCCAUCAUUAGCAUUGUCGCGCCGCCACCACCUACACCAUCUCCGCCAGCGCCACCAUUACUAGCACCACACUGUCAAAAUUCACAACAACAACAACAACCACCAGCACCACCACCUUGCCGACAGCACCAUAACCAACACCCAAAGCAACCCCAAACAAAAUGGAGAAAGACACACCACCAUUUACAAAUACAAUGCCGUGCGAUCAAUUCAAAAGCACUCAUAAAUCAUAGCGCCACUCACCUAAAACUCCCACAACGCAGAUCAAAGGAGGAGCAUCGCGAUCCUAGCUUGGUGCUGUGUGUGGUAAUGGCCACGAGGGCGCGACGCAGCUGCACAGAGGCUCUGGCCCUUGUGCAGCAUCGGCGCUCUCUAUCGGGGACACUGCUAUCGCAGCGGUCAACGAUGGUUACCUUUUGGCGACAGGCGAAGUUGGCAGGCGAUGAUGUGUGCUAAAGGGAUAGAAGAGAAAAGGAGGCAUGUAAUUUCCACAAUUGGGAAUUCAACUUCUCUAGAACUAAAUGGGCUUCCAAUCCUUAAGUUAUGGGCCAGAAUUGGAUAUAUGGAGAACAGGAAAGUGGAAAUUACACUGUAGCAUGUACUUGAAGAUCACAUUUCAAAAAUCUUGUAUAAAGUUUGUUUAAUCAAAAAUCAGGUUUCAAUUUAAUUAUUAAUAUUAUAAAAUUAAUUAAG